rnacentral:rRNA from 1 species
AUGAGUACGAGCUCAGAAUUGACUAUUCACGUUCUAUGUCAGUUUACCAUGUCCUCCACCGUGCCCGUGCUGCCAAUAAGCGCCAAGGCGAGGUCGGUCCCCGGCGGCGAUAGAGAGGGGGACCUCGAUGGUACUCGUACCUACGUGGGUCGUCUGGGUGCGCGCCACCCCCUGCACUCAGAUCGGGCGGAUCGCGAAUUCCGAACUGCCCGCCCCAGGACAAGGAGAAUCGAUGGGAUAAGGAUGGCCGGCUACGGCGCCAAUUAUAAGUGGACUGGGAGAUUGACACACACGUUGGCUAGUGGGCAAUGGCAGCACGUUGUCAUUCGUGCGACUAGCGCUGCACCACACGUUUCCUCCCUCGCCGAUCGAUGGUACUACACUGGCGCUUGGGUCGACAAGAGUCAAGAGACCUGA